AGGAGCUGUUUCUGCAAAAUAAAUCAGACUUCUCUUGGUCUCCACUCAGGCUUGAGUGUUCUUUCCUCUCUCAGUCGUCACUCCCCAACUCAGCCAUGUUGGUGUUGUGACGGCUGGGCCGCCACAAGUGGCCCCCAGACAGGGACCUGAGUAUGGAGGGAUCCAGUGAAGGACACCGCAGAGAAGAACGAGGCCUCAAUAAAGAGGGAGCUGUGCAGGUGUGGUCCAUCAGUGCAAACUGGCCGAGGAACCUUUCUGCCUGAGGCCAACCUUACAGCCCACCCCGUGUCUGCUGUGCCCUGUGUAGCUGUCAAUAAAUGGCUAAGAAAACAAA